AUUGAACGCUGGCGGCAGGCCUAACACAUGCAAGUCGAGCGGAGCGGCGGACGGGUGAGUAAUACCUAGGAAUCUGCCUGGUAGUGGGGGAUAACGUUCGGAAACGGACGCUAAUACCGCAUACUAUCAGAUACGCCUAGGUUGGAUUCGCUAUUUUGUGAGGUAAUGGCUAACCAAGGCUACGAUCCGUAACUGGUCUGGGAGGAUGAUCAGCAACACUGGAACGGAGACACGGUCCAGACGCCUACGGGAGGCAGCAGUGGGGAAUAUUGGACAAUGGGCGAAAGCCUGAUCCAGCCAUGCCGCGUGUGUGAAGAAGGUCUUCGGAUUGUAAAGCACUUUAAGUUGGGAGGCGUUACCGACAGAAGAAGCACCGGCUAACUCUGUGCCAGCAGCCGCGGUAAUUC
rnacentral:rRNA from 1 species